CUUCUCUCUUAGCCAGAAAUCACCAUGGCUGUUUUGGACCAGGGUAACCAGUUUUCACAAAUCACUUUAUCCGGCCGAGUGUUUUGAGGGUACGGAUGCCAUCGUAGUGAGCACAGGGAUGACCUGGUGGACCAUGCUGAAUCACAGAGUUUCAGAUCUGGAUAUUAUUCCAGCCAGGCAAGCUUGAGGGACUCCUCUGGCGCUGGCUCUGGGGAGGGAUCUAGGAACCCUGCCGCACCAUGUCGCACCUGCUCUCAGACGCGGCUCCCGCUACAUCACCCUCUUAUUCUGAUCUGGGAGCUCCAUCCCCGUCUCUGUGAUGGCCUGAAAACUUUCCCUCAGGGGUGCAACUGUCCAACACGGUGAUGUGGGGACCCUUUGGAAGAUCUCUAAACAAUGGGCUUCCCCAGAAAAGCCCCAAACUUCCCAUCACAAGAAGGAUCAGCCAUAUAUCCAUACAGUCCUCCACUCAGCCAAAAUUUAAAGCAAGUCUUAGAGCCAGGCAUGGAGCUAAAACAAAAAGGCAAAGAAAGAAAGAGAGUGUGGGGAUGUAGAGCUAAAACAAAACACAGGGGGAAAAAGUAGAUUUUAUUUAAAAUUAGUGUAGAAGAAAGGCACUGUAUGUCAGGAGUGGGGAAAACUGGCACUUUGGCCCCAGAUCUUCUACAAUAACUGAGCAGCUGUAUGUAGGCAGCUCUCCUUCCCCUUCUUUGGACCUCAAGUUUGCAUUUGUAAAGUGAGGAGGCUGGGCAGCUGAGAUAUUUGGAAAACAGCCUUCCGUUUUCCAUUUUGGAGAAUAGAGGGAGACAGAGUGCUCAUUUCCACGGGGGUUCACACCAAAUCAUUCUGGGUAUUUAUUUACUUUUUUCUUUAAAAAAUUCAUAACUGAGACCUAAUGUGUGUACAUCUUCUGGGAGAUUCAUUACGAUCACUCAAUGCAUCCUUCUUGUGAGCGGAGGGAAUUCCCUGCUGUUCCAGAGAGUCCACGGAGGACGAAUCUCUCCCACCCCUGGUGUCUGUGAAACCAGUCGGUGGACUUGGCUGCCUCACCUAAUGUCCAGGUUGGUGGGGAGGCAGCUGGCCUGGGAGUUCUCAGUGUUGGCAGCAGGAGAUCUGGAAUCAGAGGAGUGGACGGAGUGUACGUGGUCCAGACAGUGCCACAGCCCAUCUGAAAGCUCUGGGAAGUCACCACUGAAAUGCUUCCUUCUGCAUCACCCCCCACCCUCCUCUCCAUCCAGAUGAAUUAGGAGUUCAUUCCAAGCUUAGUGAGGCCACGCUCGGCUUCCUAGCACAAGCUUGUAUUUUGGAGAUCUUCAGGGGUUUUGCUCCUGGCCACCCCUCAGGAUGUACUGCUCAGCUUGCCUUCCCGGGGAUGAGGGGACCCAGGUGAACAUGGAUGUGCUGAACCUGUCCCAGAUGGAUUUGGCAGCCAUGGAAAGAAGACUCUGCAGUGGUGACAUCUCCCUUGGUGGCUAGCUUGGGUCUGGAGCCAUGGGACAGGAGUGGAUGUAGGCUUGAUCCCUCGUGCUCUUGGAGACAUGGAGGGGUCAGGACUUUGCAAUCAUGUUCUGCUCUUCCUGCCACCAUGGAGAGGAGGAUCCCACUCCUUAACUAGGACUCCCCGGUGCUUCCAGCACUAACUCAUGGAGUCACCAGAUAUGGCACUCAGUUGUCCUGUUGGUAAAAUGAGCAGGAUGAUAGGUGCCCUUUAACAGAUAAAUGGAUAAAUAAAAUGUGGUACAUAUACAUACCAUGGAAUAUUACUCAGC
rnacentral:lncRNA from 1 species